CAGCCGCCGCGGUAAUACGUAGGUCCCGAGCGUUGUCCGGAUUUAUUGGGCGUAAAGCGAGCGCAGGCGGUUAGAUAAGUCUGAAGUUAAAGGCUGUGGCUUAACCAUAGUACGCUUUGGAAACUGUUUAACUUGAGUGCAAGAGGGGAGGGUGGAAUUCCAUGUGUAGCGGUGAAAUGCGUAGAUAUAUGGAGGAACACCGGUGGCGAAAGCGGCUCUCUGGCUUGUAACUGACGCUGAGGCUCGAAAGCGUGGGGAGCAAACAGGAUUAGAUACCCCCGUAGUCCCUGUCUCUUAUACA
rnacentral:rRNA from 1 species